GUUUGUGUUUUUUAUUAUUAUUUUCUUUGUUUAUGAUGAUUAAUAAGCUUAUGGUUUUUAUCAGUAACAGAAAACUCUGCUAUAUCCUAUCCGUGUAUCCUUGACAUUUCUGCCCUAGGAUCACUUUUUCUUUUGCAAUAUCUUACUUGUAUGAGGUUGUUCAAUCGACACUGCUCACAUAAAGUAGAGAAUAUGUGGUACAAAGUAAAAAGUAUGACACAUUUUCAUAUUAUUCAAGUUAACAAUAAUGGGUCGAUUGUUGGAACCAUUUGAAGCCUAUGUCAAUGCCAAACCAGCAUACAUCAGUCCCUUCUCUGUUGCUCUACAGAAGCAACAAAUUAGUGUUACAUUUUAGCAGCUAUUUUGUCAUUGAUUGCUUAGUUUAAAGGAACACUAUAGUCACCUAAACAACUUUAGAUUAAUGAAGCAGUUUUAGUUUGUGUAUAUAUGUGUGUAUAUAUAUAUAUAUGUGUGUGUGUGUGUUUAUAUAUAUAUAUAUAUAUAUAUAUAUAUAAUGCCUCUCAGGUUUCACUGCUCAUUCUCUGCCAUUUGGGAGUUAAAUCACUUUGUUUCUGUUUAUGCAGCCCUUGCCACACCUCCCCUGCCUCUGAUUGACACAGCCUGUAUGAAAACAAAAUGGUUUCAUUUUCAAUCAGAUGCAACUUAAUUUAAUUAUGUUGUAUCUCCAGCUCUGUAAAUUGAACUUUAAUCUCAGACAGGAGGUUCCUGUAGGGUCUGGGAAACUAUUAACAGUGCAGGAGAUAAGAAAUUCUAAACAAAGUAUAAAGGAAGUAUAAACAUUAGACUCUUACAGGAAGUGUUUAGGAAGGCUGUGCAGAUCACAUGCAGGGGGGUGUGACUAGGGUUAAUAAACAAAGUGAUUUAACUCCUAAAUUGCAGAGAAUUGAGCAGUGAGACUGCAGAGGCAUGAUCUAUACACCAAAACUGUUCCAUUAAGCUAAAGUUGUUUUGGUGACUAUAGUGUCCCUUUAAAUUAACUAGAUUGUGGUUAGCAAAUACCAUAGUUAAUUCCAUAGCAUCAAAGUGGAUUGUUCACAAAUAAUCAUAAGUAGAAAGGUACACACAUCUUUAUUAAAUGUUUUUUUUAGCGUGGUAAAAUAAUUCAAAGAAAUAAAUCAAGAAUAACUUAAAUAUGAUAUCUGGUCAGAAUGUAACUGCAUUUUUACUGUAAAAAUCAUGAAAAUCCUCCGCCCAGAAUAUUGUGAGAAAGUGAUUUAUUCAGCCAUUAAAUGACCCCACUACGUUUUGACCUUAAAGAGGACUUUGUCAAGGCAAGAUUUAUUUUUUCCACUGGUAGGGCAAAUUUCCCAGCUUUUCUUAACGUGAGCUUGUCCUCUGAGGAGUUUUUUCUGGUUUCAAGUAUUUUUUGUGUUUUAAUUUUAUACUGUUGUAAUAAACUUAGAUUUUUGUGUUAAUUAUCAGUAUAUUUUGCCUUUUAUUUUAAUAUGGAUAGUAAGAGAUUAGCAAAGGCAAGUUCUGUACUUGAUAAGGAUGCAUUCAGAGAGACAUUCAGAGUUAUUCACUAAAGUGAGAAUUUAAAGCUAAUUCAAAAAUGAUUUCCAAUUUAAGACCAAAAUAGUCAGCAAUGCUUUCAGCUCAACUACUAUGUACCUUGAAUUCUCCCUUGUGAAUAACUCUGACAGAAAGCACAUACAAAAGACAUGACUGUAGAUGUUCUUCCCUUUUUUUCCUCUACACCAUGCAAACAAAGGGAACAUCGCGAUCUUUAUUCCUACUUACUUUUUCAUAGAAUAUAAUUAGGUUAGUUUGGCAUGACCUAUCUUUUAUAGAUCAUGUUGAUUUCUACUAAUGCUAUUGUUCAAAAGGAAUUCCUGAAUAUUAUUUCAACCCUUCAAAUAAUUUCCCAACCACAGAUGUUAAGUUCACAGGGAUAUAGCUUCAUGGUUGAGCUUUUGAACCCUUUUUAAAUAUAGACACCAUAUCUGCUUUUCUCCAAUCCUCUGUACGUUCCUGAAAGAUUAGAAACAGUGUUAUGGAUAUUUCCAAAUUAAAGGGGCACUAUAGUCACCAGAAAAACUACAGCCUAAUGUAGUUGUUCUGGUAAGUAUAGGCAGUCCCUCCAGGCAUUUUCAUGUAAAUAUACUGCCAUUUAGCAUCUCCAUGCUCUGCGAUGCAAGGGGGCUGGGGACCUAAUGCAGCAUUUCCGCACUGUAGUGUCAGGAAGACACGUUUGGAUCCUCCCCUCCACCCACCUCCUUGUCUGAGAUCAUUAGAAUUAGUAAAAGAUCAUCAAUUGAGAUUGUCAAUUCUGAUGCUCCCAGCCAAGGAGGCGGAUCGGGGGCAGCGCUGGAAUAAAGAUGAGUUUUUAUCUUAUUUAAGGGGUACUAAGCUAAAUGGCUCGUGAGCUUACAAUCUAAAGGUUAUGAAGGGCACGUGAGACAAGAAGUAGCAGGGGAGCUAUGAAGGUAAUAUAUAAGUAUGCUUAGGGUAUUUGCAUAUAUUGCUAAUAUUUGAUGUGAUUGAAUAGUUAAAUGGUGCCAAACACGUGGAAAGGCAUGUUAUAAAGCAAGCAGAAACUGGGUGGAUGGGAAAUGCUUACUGAAAAAAUUGCAAAUAUUGCUUGGGAUGGAUUGUGAUGUCAGGCCCCUAGAUGGAAUAGUAUAAGGAAAAUCAUUUAGGUGAAGGAACGCAAUGCUGGGUAAAGGGGUGGGCAGGGGGGGAAAUGUUGCUUUAAUAUUGAAUAGUUUCUCCAAUAGUUUAUAUGUCCCCAAAAGUUAAUAAUCACGUACUGAAAAUGCUAAUAGACUGCAUAUACAGAAUACAGUAAGAACUUCAUGUGCAGAAAAUUGCAUUAACAAUGUAACAAUGGGAAAUAAAAUAGCCACAGAGUGAGACACAAAUACUGGUACUUUAGUAUCUUCUAAACUGCCUUCAGUACAUCGGAACUUGAUGAAUGUUUCUGGGAAAAUGGCAGGUAAUGUUUGGGGUGGAUUGUGAUGUUUGGGGUGGAUUGUAACGUGAGGUCUCUCCUAUGGGGCCACAGUCACGUGUGUGUGUGUGUGUGUGUGUGUAUAUAUACAUAUAUAUUCAUGUGAAUAUAUAAGUGAUGUAUGUAAAUGACAACAUGGUGGAUGUGGAAUAGCUACACACAAUAGCUUCCCUUUUUUUUCAGAAAAAAAGUCUCUGACUUUAAACAAGUCUACUAGUAAAUCUAUUUAAAAAAAUACAAAUGAAAACCUUUUUCAAUAAAAAUAUUACUUUUGCAUUUAUUCAGUAUACAGUAUAUUUUUACAAUAGUAUGGCAAGCAUAAGCAGAUUACUUGAAAGCAAGAUAAGUGUGUGGACAAGAAGCAGGAAGAGAAGUCAGAAAAAGACAAAGGAAGAAGAAAAGGGGGUCGCUGCAUAUCAACAUGUUUGCACUGUGUGUAUCUGCAUUGAAUAAUAUAUGUUUCUUAAGGAAUCCAGAAAUGCCUUCACUAUUCUUCUCUAAACAAACCUAUUGAUACUGACAGGGGUACCCACUAAAGUCUGGAUGGCACCAAACUGAACAGUGGGGGA
rnacentral:lncRNA from 1 species